AGAGUUUGAUCCUGGCUCAGAAUGAACGCUGGCGGCGUGCUUAACACAUGCAAGUCGAACGAUGAAGCCUAGCUUGCUAGGUGGAUUAGUGGCGCACGGGUGAGUAAUAUAUAGAUAAUGUGCCUCUUAGUCUGGGAUAGCCAUUGGAAACGAUGAUUAAUACUAGAUACUCCUUCUCUUUCUAAUGAGAGUUGGGAAAGUUUUUCGCUAAGAGAUCAGUCUAUAUCCCAUCAGCUUGUUGGUAGUGUAAGAGACUACCAAGGCUAUGACGGGUAGCGGGUUUGAGAGGAUGAUCCGCCACACUGGUACUGAGACACGGACCAGACUCCUACGGGAGGCAGCAGUGAGGAAUAUUGCACAAUGGAGGAAACUCUGAUGCAGCAACGCCGCGUGGAGGAUGACGCAUUUCGGUGUGUAAACUCCUUUUAUAUGUCAAGAAAAUGACGGUAGCAUAUGAAUAAGCACCGGCUAACUCCGUGCCAGCAGCCGCGGUAAUACGGAGGGUGCAAGCGUUACUCGGAAUCACUGGGCGUAAAGGACGCGUAGGCGGGUUGGAAAGUCUGAUGUGAAAUCCUAUGGCUCAACCAUAGAACUGCAUUGGAAACUGCUAGACUAGAAGACUGAAGGGGCAGAUGGAAUUAGUGGUGUAGGGGUAAAAUCCGUAGAUAUCACUAGGAAUACCGAAAGCGAAAGCGAUCUGCUGGGAAGUUAUUGACGCUGAGGCACGAAAGCGUGGGGAGCAAACCGGGAUUAGAUACCCCGGUAGUCCACGCCCUAAACGAUGAAUGCUAGUCGUCGGAAAGCUCGUCUUUUCGGUGAUGCAGUUAACACAUUAAGCAUUCCGCCUGGGGAGUACGGUCGCAAGAUUAAAACUCAAAGGAAUAGACGGGGGCCCGCACAAGCGGUGGAGCAUGUGGUUUAAUUCGAGGCAACGCGAAGAACCUUACCUACCCUUGACAUCCAGAGAAUCCUUUAGAGAUAGAGGAGUGCCUUCGGGAACUCUGAGACAGGUGCUGCAUGGCUGUCGUCAGCUCGUGUUGUGAAAUGUUGGGUUAAGUCCCGUAACGAGCGCAACCCUUAUCCUUAGUUGCUAGCAGGUUAUGCUGAGAACUCUAGGGAGACUGCCGGUGAUAAACCGGAGGAAGGUGGGGACGACGUCAAGUCAUCAUGGCCCUUACGUGUAGGGCUACACACGUGCUACAAUGGCAGGUACAGAGUGUUGCUAACCCGCGAGGGUAAGCGGAUCACUUAAAGCCUGUCGUAGUCCGGAUUGGAGUCUGCAACUCGACUCCAUGAAGUCGGAAUCGCUAGUAAUCGCGGAUCAGAAUGCCGCGGUGAAUACGUUCCCGGGCCUUGUACACACCGCCCGUCACACCAUGGGAGUGGGUUGCUCCAGAAGUGGCUAGUCUAACUGCUUGCAGAGGACGGUCACCACGGAGUGAUUCAUGACUGGGGUGAAGUCGUAACAAGGUAACC
rnacentral:rRNA from 1 species